CUUUUUCAAAAGCUCAACCAGGCUAAAGAUUCUUUGAUUUGAAAACCAAAGUGAUAGUGAACUAGUUAGUUGAAACAAACAGAAUUGUUUGAUUUAUUUACUUUCCACAACAUUGACAAUUAAAAUUUAAUUUGAUACUUUUCCAGUAUGCAUUCUUCAUUGACAUUAUAGAGGUUCAGAUUUGACUACCAUUACCAUUAAGGACCAUCAAAUGCAUUUGAUAUAUUCGAUCAACCAUUAUAACCAAUCAGAUGCAUACUAAGGCAGUCAGAGAUAGUGCUAGUAGAACUCAAAUCUUAACCUCUACAAUGAAAGUGCGAGUUUAUUCAUAAACUAAUUAUACGUAAAUCAACUUUCAUGCAAUCAUCUAGUUAUGUACCAGUCAAUGUAAACCCUGCCCCCAACCGGGGAGGGGCGGGAGGUUUAGUGGGAAAGUGGUCCGUUUUGAUUAUAAAUUUGCCC